rnacentral:tRNA from 1 species
GCCGGAGUGGUGGAAUGGCAGACACGUUGGACUCAAAAUCCAAUGCCUUCACGGGCGUGCGGGUUCAAGUCCCGCCUCCGGUACCA